rnacentral:rRNA from 1 species
ACGCACGCUUGCGGCAUGCCUCACACCUGCCAGUCGAACGAGACCUUCGGGUCUAGUGGCGCACGGGUGCGUAACGCGUGGGAACCUGCCCUUAGGUUCGGAAUAACUCCCCGAAAGGGGUGCUAAUACCGGAUAAUGUCUUCGGACCAAAGAUUUAUCGCCUUUGGAUGGGCCCGCGUUGGAUUAGCUAGUUGGUAGGGUAAAAGCCUACCAAGGCGACGAUCCAUAGCUGGUCUGAGAGGAUGAUCAGCCACACUGGGACUGAGACACGGCCCAGACUCCUACGGGAGGCAGCAGUGGGGAAUAUUGGACAAUGGGCGAAAGCCUGAUCCAGCAAUGCCGCGUGAGUGAUGAAGGCCUUAGGGUUGUAAAGCUCUUUUACCCGGGAUGAUAAUGACAGUACCGGGAGAAUAAGCUCCGGCUAACUCCGUG